UGGCCAUUUGGUUUCUUACAGGAGGGCACCAAAGAAGAACAUUGGUGGACCGAAGGGCAAGAGACCAGCCAAAAAGACCGACGAAGUGCCCUCCACCCCCUAGCAGCUCUUCAUCGGAUGAUGAGGGUAUUUCUGCAAAUGACUAUAACAUGCUUUUACCUAGGAUUAGCAUGUUGGCUGCUCCCACUGCUAGCCCACGACCAGCACGUCGGGAAGUAAAACAGCUUUGCUUAAUGCUAUUCUUUCUCAUGUAUCUGCUCUAGAAGCUGGUCAGAGUUUUGGGUCCCGAUACGAGGCAAAGCAGCCUGUUGCAGUGACUGGGGGACCCCAGGAGGUGCAGCACCCGUUCAACGACCGUCCAGAGCCAGUACAACCAGCAUCAUCAGCUCAGCACAUUUUAUCUGUUGUGUCCAGUGCACAGGCGGUUCCCUCAGGUCCGGUGCAAGGGCUGGUAUCCAGCAAUCCCACCACUUCGACAGGUAUUAAACUUUGCAAACUAGAACACAAAUCUGUGUGCAAGCCCUAUUAGAAGACACCAACAAUAUUUUUUUUCUUUCAUAUAAGAACAGGAAAUAUAGGCUAUGUAUAUACCACUUUCUAAAGAGAAAAUAAGAAUAAGACUUCACCAAGGUGAGACCCUUUUGGAGAGUGAAAUGAAAUGAGGGUAUAUACUACACAGCUCAGAGAAAGUGCAAGAAACU
rnacentral:lncRNA from 11 species